rnacentral:lncRNA from 1 species
CGCCAGGCCGCGGCCCAGUGGCGCCGGCGCACACCGAAGACGACACCAGCCAUCCGGCCAAUCCCGCCCCGCCGCGCCCCGCAGGCCCGCCCACUCCUCGCUUCUCCACUUCCCUUCUCGAAGUGUCCGGUCGCUUCUCGCAGGCGGCGCGCUUGCUGGGUCACAGUGAGGCGGCUCCGCGCAGGCGCAGCCGGGCGGGCGAGGAGCGGGGAAGCUGACUCAGGGCUGCGGCCGGGGUCCUGCGGGGUAGGAGCGCGAGGCCGGCCUGAGGGAGGAGGCCUAGCGACCCAUCCGGCGCCUCCCGCCCCGGGCACCCGCCCGCGGCCGCGCAUCCUGCGGGCCCCAGGAGGCCUCCAUCUCAAAACAACGUGUUUUUAGUGUUGACUCACCUGUGGAGUGGUCUGAGCCUGAAUGCCCGGGGCUGUGGCCACCGAGUGAACGGGCUGUGCUAAGGGGAAUUGCCACCUUGGGAAACCUGUGUAGUUGCGGCUUUUCUGAUUAAGUAUCAAUAAAAGUCUGACCUUGUGAAAAAAGCAAACGUGAGUGGCCCUGCUUAUGUUUCACCUUGCGUUGCUCAGUGAUAGUUCUGCAAAGUCGCAGGAAACCUGGAAUCAUCUAAUUAUCGUGAGUGUUGGUGAGUAACACCCAUAGGCACUGGCUCCCGGGGAAAUACAGAGUCAGGUUCCUCCGAGCCGCUGGCCACAGCAUUUUUGUUAAGCAGUUCAUCGUUAACCUUGUUGUACAUGUCUCUCUCUCAAGGUUCCUUAUUUAAUAAUGUCUAGUUGAUUCAUUAACAUGGAAUUCAUGGCCAGUACCUCUGUCACUCAUGCCUGACUGAAGUUGAUCAGCACGUCUUUUUCUCCCUUAGGCACAUGACAGCCUUCUUGCAAUCAAGAAACUACGUGUGGCCAGGAUCUCAUCCACUAUCACAGUUUCAGCUUUCCCCAAACUGGAAUGUGUCUUUGCAGACGCCCAUCCUUAUUAAAGGGCAAAGACUUCUCAUACACCUAGGAUGGAUCUUAUAUUCUUGGCGGGACUGCAGAGAAGGUGCCGUGUCCUGAGUCCUCAUGUCAGGGCACAGGCUUCCAGCCAGUUCUACCUGGGUUAUGUUUAUCUCAAUUCCCUGGUGGUAUUGGUGUCUGCUGGGUUUUGCCAGAAUGAAGACACCGUGUUUUCAUUUGUCAGUUGAUUCGUAUUUUCCAGGAAGACAUUCUGAGAUUACAGCAUUGUCUUAGUCAAGGUGCUGCAGAAGGACAGAACUAAUAGGAUAUAUGUACAUAUGAAAGAAAGUUUAUGAAGAACUGGCUCACACCAUCACAAGGCAAAGUCCCAUGACAGGCCAUCUGCAAGCUGAGGAGCGAGGAAGCCAGCAGUGGCUCAGCCGGAGUCCAACAGCCUCAAACGGAAUCCAACAGUUCAGGCUUCAGUCUGUGGCCAAAUGCCCAGAGACCCCGGAAAGCUACUGGUGUUAGUCCCAGAGCCGGAAGGCCAAAGAACCUGGAGUGUGAUGUCCAAGGGCAGGAGGAAUGGACAGAAGCAUCCAGCAUGGGGUAAAGACGAAAGCCAGAAGACUCAGCAAGCUAGCUUACCUACUUUCUUCUGCCUGCCUUGUUCUAGCCGCGCUGGCAGCCGGUUGGAGGGUGCCCACCCCCACUGAGGGUGGAUCUUCCUCUCCUAGUCCACUGACUCAAAUUUCAGUCUCUCUGGGAGCACCAUCACACCAGAAACAAUACCAGCCAUCUAGCCACCCUUCAGUUCACCAUCACAACCAUUGUCUUAUUCAUGAAACUUCUGCAGACCCACCUUAACCUCCAUCGGUGACUUCUACCUGAAGCCCUCUGAUUGUUGCCCAGUGGUGCUUUUUAAAAUAAUUUCCAUAGUUUCUUCUACACCUUUAGUUGGCAUUCUACUGUAAAGGAGAGAUUUUAUUUUCUUACUCAUUUAUUUGUUAGUUUAUAGUCACCACCAUAUGGAUGCAGAGUUCUGUCUCAUUCACUGGGAAGUAUUCUAUUGCAGUCAUGAUUUAUUUUGAUGUUCACAUCCCAGAGUUGGUGAGUGAGCGCCCCUUCACGCUGGCUCCCGAGUGCUGACGUGUCCCCGUCCUUCUCUGCACUUUUCCUUACCUCCUGGCCUCAGAUAUUCCAGGGUCAUUUGUUCUCUCCCUGCUCCAACCCUGCAGUCAGCCAUCUCCCUAGGGACGUUGGUUCCUUUAUGGAAGGUGGCAUUUAGAAGCCAGGAUUUGGGCUGAGCACUGUGGCUCAUGCUUGUAAUCCCAGCACUUGGGGAGGCCGAAGUGGGCGGAUCGCUGGAGGCCAAGAGUCUGAGACCAGCCUGGCUAACAUGGUGAAACCCUUCCCCGUCUCUACUACAAAUAAAAAAUUAGCUGGGUGUGUUGGCACGUGCCUGUAAUCCCAGUUACUCAGGAGGCUGAAGCACCAGAAUCUCUUGAACCCAGGAGGCCGAGGUUGCAGUGAGCCAAGAUUGCACCACUGCACUACAGCUUGGGUGACAGCGCGAGACACCGUCUCAAAAAGGAUAAUAAUUUAAAAAACAGCAGGAUUUGGGUGAGCAGUGCGCUCAUUGCUUCUGGGCUCUCUCGGUGGACAUAGGCUAGGAAUGUAAGAUGUAUGUGCCUGUGUAUAUACACACGUCUGUAGCUAUGUCUAUGUUGCAUACAUGUGUUUUUCCAAAAACCAAAUCCAUAACCAUGCCUUCAGUUUCAGCCCAACACCUCCGGGCUCUUUCUAGCUUUCUACCUUUCAUGAUUGUGAAUACCUUCUCCAGCAGUGAGAAACCUGGCUCCUUUGUCCUCAGUGGAUUUUCUUAUUUGCUCAAUUUUUUUGUUUUUUGUUUUGUUUUUGUUUUUGAGACAGAGUCUUGUUCUGUCACCCAAGCUGGAGUGCAGUGGCAUAAUCUCGGCUUACCGCAACCUCUGCCUCCUGGGUUCAAGCGAUACUCCUGCGUCAGCAUCCCGAGUAGCUGGGAUUACAGGCAUGUGCCACCAUGCCUGGCUAAUUUUUGUAUUUUUAGUAGAAACGGAGUUUCACCAUGUUGGUCAGGCUGGUCUCGAACUCCUGACCUCGUGAUCUGGGUGCCUUGGCCUCCCAAAAUGCUGGGAUUACAGGCGUGAGCCACCACACUCGGCCAAGUCAGAAUUUUAAGUUUCAUCUUUUUUGUAAUUAAUUGAACACCUGCAUUCAAAGAAACAGAGAAGUACCACCACGCAUAAGUAAGGUGGCCAUGGCGUACCUAGGUUUCUCAGCCUAUCAAGCUUAGGGGCUUCUUUUUACGUGAAGUCCUCCUAAGACAGCCUCUGAUAGCUGCCUUGUGGUCAGCAGGGAAGAAGGGCCUUGUAAUAGCACGACUCUGCAGGGAGGCGGGCAGCUCUCAUGGCCUUAGUUUGCAGACCUCGAGAUGUCCACUAGAAAGGAGGAGAUCGUGGCUGGCUGCGGUGGCUCACGCCUGUAAUCCCAGGAUUUUGGGAGGCCGAGGCAGGCGGAUCACGGGAUCAGGAGAUCGAGACCAUCCUGGCUAAUGUGGUGAAACCCCGUCUCUACUAAAAAUACAAAAACUUAGCCGGGCGUGGUGGCGGGCGCCUGAGUCCCAGCCACUCGGGAGGCUGAGGCAGGAGAAUGGCGUGAACCCGGGAGGCAGAGCUUGCAGUGAGCCGAGAAUUGCGCCACUGCACUCCAGCCUGGGCGACAGAGCGAGACUUCGUCUCAAAAAAAAAAAAAAAAAAAAAAGAGGAGGUCGCAGCGUCUCCAGUAACACAUCAACUCCGCAACAAGGGGCCACAAGUGUUCCUCGCCAACGGGUCCCUGCUACGAUCCCUAUUUUAAAUAAGGGGAAACUGAGGCGUGGAGGGGGUAAGAAACAGAGAAGUCAGAAUUCAAACCUGGACGACGCCUGUUAGUUUUUUGGGAUUACAGGGGUAAGCCACUGUGCCCGGCCACACGUGUUAGUUUUUUGGGAUUACAGGGGUAAGCCACUGUGCCCGGCCAUGCCUGUUAGUUUUGUAACUCCAG